rnacentral:rRNA from 1 species
UGGGGAAUAUUGCACAAUGGGGGAAACCCUGAUGCAGCGACGCCGCGUGAAGGAAGAAGUAUUUCGGUAUGUAAACUUCUAUCAGCAGGGAAGAAAGUGACGGUACCUGACUAAGAAGCCCCGGCUAACUACGUGCC